UACGUAGGUGGCAAGCGUUAUCCGGAAUUAUUGGGCGUAAAGCGCGCGCAGGUGGUUUCUUAAGUCUGAUGUGAAAGCCCACGGCUCAACCGUGGAGGGUCAUUGGGAACUGGGAGACUUGAGUGCAGAAGAGGAAAGUGGAAUUCCAUGUGUAGCGGUGAAAUGCGUAGAGAUAUGGAGGAACACCAGUGGCGAAGGCGACUUCCUGGUCUGUAACUGACACUGAGGCGCGAAAGCGUGGGGAGCAAACAGG
rnacentral:rRNA from 1 species